GGAGAGGUGACCGAGUGGUUGAAGGUGCCGCUCUCGAAAAGCGGUUCACGAUUUAUCGUGACGUGGGUUCGAAUCCCACCCUCUCCGCCA
rnacentral:tRNA from 1 species